rnacentral:rRNA from 1 species
CCUUCAUGAAGCUGGAAUUGCUGUAAUGGCAGGUCAGCAUACUGCCGUGAAUACGUUCCCGGGCCUUGUACACACCGCCCGUCACACCAUGAGAGUUGGGAAUACCCGAAGCCUGUGAGCUAACUUAUAGAGGCAGCAGUCGAAGGUAGAAUCAAUGAUUGGGGUGAAGUCGUAACAAGGUACC